rnacentral:rRNA from 1 species
UACGUAGGGGGCUAGCGUUGUCCGGAUUUAUUGGGCGUAAAGAGCGUGUAGGCGGCCAGGUAGGUCUGGUGUGAAAACUCGAGGCUUAACCUCGAGAUGUCAUCGGAAACCAUUUGGCUAGAGUCCGGAAGAGGAGAGUGGAAUUCCUGGUGUAGCGGUGAAAUGCGCAGAUAUCAGGAGGAACACCCGUGGCGAAAGCGGCUCUCUGGGACGGUACUGACGCUGAGACGCGAAAGCGUGGGGAGCGAACAGG